rnacentral:lncRNA from 1 species
CGGACGGACUGACGGACGCGCAGCCUUACCCGAAAGGCCAUGGCGGAGCACGCCCCUCGCCGCUGCUGCCUGGGCUGGGACUUCAGCACGCAGCAGGUAAAGGUUGUUGCUGUUGAUGCAGAGUUGAAUGUCUUCUAUGAGGAAAGUGUGCAUUUUGACAGAGAUCUUCCAGAAUUUGGAUGCACAGAGGAAAGGCCUUGUGAGAAGGCGGCUGUCUGCAAGCUGGAAAGAGAGCCCUAACCAGAAACUGAAUUUGCUGGCACCUUAAUUGUGGACUUCUAGCCUCCAGAACUGACUCAGGGUGGUGUUCAUGUGCACAAGGAUGGGCUGACGGUCACUUCUCCAGUACUAAUGUGGGUCCAGGCACUGGAUAUCAUCUUGGAGAAGAUGAAGGCUUCGGGCUUCGACUUCUCUCAAGUCCUAGCCUUGUCCGGGGCGGGCCAGCAACACGGAAGUAUAUACUGGAAGGCUGGAGCCCAGCAGGCACUGACAAGCUUAUCACCAGACCUCCGGCUACACCAGCAGCUGCAGG